rnacentral:rRNA from 1 species
GUGGCUUAAUUUGACUCAACGCGGGAAAUCUUACCGGGUCCGGACACACUGAGGAUUGACAGGCAAUAUAUGCUUUGCUUACUCUUCGGGGUAGGNACUGCAUUGUUAAAUAUGCUAGUCCUUUCAUGAUNAUGUGANAGGUGGCGCAUGGCCGNUCUUANUUCGUGGAGUGAUCUGNCUGCUUAAUUGCGUUUCACUUAUUUUAUAGGAUCUAAUAUUAAUGAUGUGUGAGCGACUCGCAUGCUCUUGACCCACACUUGUUUACUCAGGUGGUCCGUGCGUCAUUAUAGGCUUUUGCUUGACCUCCCAUCUUUUAGCUAU